UACAGAGGUGGCAAGCGUUGUUCGGAAUUACUGGGCGUAAAGGGCGCGUAGGCGGCCUUCUAAGUCGGACGUGAAAUCCCCAGGCUUAACUUGGGAACUGCGUCUGAUACUGGGAGGCUUGAGUGCGGGAGAGGGAUGUGGAAUUCCCAGUGUAGCGGUGAAAUGCGUAGAUAUUGGGAGGAACACCAGUGGCGAAGGCGGCUCGCUGGACCGGUUCUGACGCUGAGGCGCGAAAGCGUGGGGAGCAAACAGG
rnacentral:rRNA from 1 species